CCAAUAGCGUAUAUUAAAGUUGUUGCAGUUAAAAAGCUCGUAGUUGAAUUUUGGGUCUGGCCGGGCGGUCCGCCCUCCGGGUGAGCACUGUUCCGACGCCGGACCUAUCCUUCUGGUGAGUCGGCAUGUCCUUUAUUGGGUGUGUCGGGGAACCAGGACCAUUACCUUGAAAAAAUUAGAGUGUUCAAAGCAGGCGUAGGCUCGGAUACAUUAGCAUGGCAUAAUGAAAUAGGACGCGUGGCGCUAUUUUGUUGGUUUCUAGAACCGCCGUAAUGAUUAAUAGGGAUAGUUGGGGGCAUUAGUAUUCAAUUGUCAGAGGUGAAGUUCUUGGAUUUAUUGAAGACUAACUUCUGCGAAAGCAUUUGCCAAGGAUGUUUUCAUUAAUCAAGAACGAAAGUUAGGGGAUCGAAGACGAUCAGAUACCGUCGUAGUCUUAACCAUAAACUAUGCCGACUAGGAAUCGGGCGAUGUUAUUCUCAUGACUCGCCCGGCGCCUUAUG
rnacentral:rRNA from 1 species